ACAGUGUGGUUUAGUAGUUUGAACAUCAGACUAUGAUUCUGCAGGCCAGGGUUCGAUUCCCUGCUUGAG